GCUUUCCCAGGCCACAAGCAGGGAGAUGAAUGGGAAGCAAGGCCGCCAGGACAUGCACCAGUAUGGAUCUCUUCGAAUGCAAGGAAGAGUCACCUUUGCAAGACCUGCUCCAUGGGCUCAUUUGCACUCCAAGAAAUAGUGGCUGCAUUCCUGAAACUUUGAUAUGGAUGGUCUGGAAUCUGUUAUCUUACACCUGGAAUUCAAAUGACUCCCUGCCUUAGCCACCUCUGUGAUGGUUGGGACAGUCUUUGGCAUCCUGGCAGAGGCAAGGUCAUGACCCAGAGAUGUGUAAGACAUGAUAAGAUUUUAACAUUAACUAUCAGGUAAGCAACAACAAAAAGCUGAAAU